rnacentral:lncRNA from 1 species
AUUAUGCCUAUCCCAAGGCACUAUAAUACAAUAUAGUACUAUAGACCUAUAGUGGAAUCAUAUAGAAAGAUGGGUCAGUUGCACCAUCCUUGAUAAAAUUAGGUACUCUUAUUUGAACCAGUAAAACUGGUUUGCCAUCCUUGCAAUUGUUGCAGAGGACUAAAUGGUUAGUAGUUAGAGAAACAUAUGUUAGUUUGAAAACCAUAGAUUAUAAUAGUAUAAAUGAAACACUUGAAGUACCAGUCCCAAUAUGUUCUCUGUUUGUUUCAAAUGUGCACUUUCCAAGGUAAUUUUAUGGACACAUGUGAAUAUAUAAAUGAUUCAUAUGGCGCGGAGAGAAGAAAACUUGAUAGUGUGUGACCAAUAUAGCAAAAGACUUGCAAGGAUUGUGUUGGUUUGAUAACAGGUCCCUUUUCAAUACCAUUCUUCUCUGAUGUAUAGCAAUGUUACAUGGUAAAUAAAGAAAAAGCUGUUUGUUUGGCUAUUCUUGAGUGUUCAGUCUAAAUUCAGUGUUAGCAUCGUUGACUUGUUCAAUUGUUAUGUUGCUUCCUGAAAAUUGCCCCAUGCAAACUUUGAUUCAUUUUCAAACAAACCAAGGACUAUAAUGGUUUCGUCCAGACCAGUUUGUACGGAAAUAGACGAUUUAGUAUUCUUGGCUCUGCGUUUUGCUUUCUGAAAGUCUGAUAAGCAUUAGAAACAGAGAAUUUGCCUUUAAUAUCAUAUUUUUAUCUUACCAUUGGUAGUGACUAAAACAUUUGGUGCAUUAGAACUUAUAUAAAUUCUUACUAAGACGCCUAUUUACAAGUACACCAUCACUCAGAGUUACUCUGUACAAACAACAUUGUAAAAGGGACCUAAGGGGUUAUGAUCAUUCCCCAAUUACAAAUAACAUAAACAAAGUGAUAAUUCCUAUUCUGUAAGUGUCAUCUGCCCAGUAUCACACUGUUGCUUUGAUGUCGUUAAUUGCCCUAUUCAGAUCGAUGUUAAUCUUCCCAAAUUGCUUGUUCUAAAAAAAAAAAGUACCAUUCCGAGUUCUGAGUAAAUGUUGAUUGGAAAACUCUAUACAAUAUUCCUGAGCUGUAGAAGACGUUUCACCCACAACUCAUGACAUGGUCCCUUUGUUAGGAUUGAUUCUUUGCUUCUUAUUUUAUUUUUUUAGCUUUGUAAUUUCGCUUUAUACAGAUAAAUUGUACAUUUGUUUCAAUCCAUUCUUUAUGUUAUUUCUGAACGAUCUUGCUGGAUAUUGAAAUGCAGAUCUACUACUGUAAUGAUUUGCCACAAGAGCUCUAAAUUAUAUGGAAUUGUCUCCAUCUCUGAUGUCACUCCAGCUACUGGUUUGGGAUGUACUCACCUUUUGGUUGCAGAGUGCAGUUCCUCUUGGGUUAGUAAUCCUUGUUUUUUUUUUUCUUUUACUUUUUUUUCUUGGGUUCAGUGUUAGAUGGUAUGGGAUAACAUUUCUCUUUGGAUAUAUCAGACAUGUUCUUUCUCAAUCCACCACGGCUACCGUCAAGCUUGAGUUGCUCCCCUUGACUAAUAGCUUAUUAAUUACUCUUUAUACUUGAUGUUAAUGUUAAGGAAAAAAGUGUGUGCUAAUUCCUCAACUGUUUGCUUGUUUAUGCUUCCAUAAUGUAUCAUUGUUGUAUGCUCUAAGGAAGAACUUUAGAUGAAACACCUUCAACUAAAUUAGCAGGUCACUUCUCUGCUAUUCCUAGAGAAAAUACUAAUUGAAUGUUGUACUCAAAUUAACAGGUCUGGCCUAUAACCCAGAGCACUCACUGAAGAUUUAUGCGACUUCCAGAGCAAUGUUUGUGACGAAUCCAACUACUGCACUCACAUUAUCAAAUGUUGGUGGCGUGGAAUGAUGACUGUAAGUUCAUGUGAAGUAUUAUUUUCAGUCACAGGGUUGUCCAUCCAUGUUUCCUUUCUCACUUUGGACGCAAAUAUUAUUCAUGCCCAGUUUAAUUCAUCCCUACAAAGGUUGAGUCACGCUGUUUUUUCUUUUUUUUUUUCUUUUUUGGUAUAGGAAAAACAUCGAAUGGACAUAGGAGACUCAACUGAUUAUAGGGGAGGUAUAUAGACUCCAGCCAGGUAUUUAUUUUUUCGUUGACAAAAAUACUCAAUUUUUUUUUUUUUUUUUUUUUUGAUAUAUUCCUACAAACAUGUUUGAUUUUGCAGGUUCACUUUGAUCCAAGCAUAUGAAAUAGAGCUAGAGAAUCCAACUACUUUGUGUUUUUGUAACUCCCAUCAUAUAGAGUCGAGAAAAUUCGUGAAAAUGUUCUGGCCAUGGUAUUUGAAGUUUGAAAUUUAAAUUUAAAUUCAUUGAAUAAGUGUAUACCUUCAAUUAACAUUUUACUUGUACUAUGUUAAAUACAUAUGAAAAUCUUAUUUCUUAUGUAUGGAACCAAGAUUAUAUAAGUUUAAAGUUGUCGACUUGAGUUGCAGUGCAUGCCAUUUUUAUUUUUUGUUA